UGUUCUUAACGGAUGUCUCCUUGC
rnacentral:piRNA from 1 species